rnacentral:tRNA from 1 species
UGUAGUAUAACUCAGUGGUAAAGUGCUUACCUACCAUGAAUAAGGCCCUGAGUUCAAUCCCUAGUAUCACAA